UUUCCAGUAGCACCUUAGAGACCAACUAAGUUUGUUAUUGGUAUGAGCUUUCGUGUGCAUGCACAUUUCUUCAGAUAUUUGAAGAAGUGUGCAUGCACACGAAAACUCAUCCCGAUAACAAACUUAGUUGGUCUCUAAGGUGCUACUGGAAG